CAAGAAGUCGUGUCCAACAUGCCCCUACUCCCUGGUACCUAGAUUCCUUUCGGAGGAGGAGCAGCCCCUCGGGUUGUGAACACUGCAGUAGGAACUAGCUUACUGGAUCCUUCCAGAUGUAAUUGUGACCCAAGAGGAGGAGGGGAGGCAAGCUGCCACUGGCCAGCCCCCCACCUGAGCCCUCGCCCUAAUAGGGUGUCCCACUGGUUGGUUUUGCUCACCUCUUCCAUGGGACUCACAUAGAAACUGAAAAACAGCCCUGCUUUUUAGCCAGUACUGAGCUUCAGUGGAGGGAAAGGUGAACUGGAGGCUCCCAAGGUGCUGCAGAUUCUGGAGGUGACAGACCUGGCUUCCCUUGCUUACUGCAGUGUGGCAUUCACAAGCCUCCUCAUUUUCCCAGGCCUCAGGAAAACAGAUGACAAGGAGAAAAUGAGCUAAUCCCACAGUCAAGGGUGGGAUCUGUUUCUGUGUUCCUUCUUGGAGCCAGCCCUGAAGGGUCAGAUUGUCCCCUGCGUUGUCAUGCUGGUCACCAGAAGCUCUUCUCCACCUUUCCCAGGGGCGUUCUGACAUGUUCCAGCUGACCAAUUGGUGAGCACCAGCUGACCUAACUCUAGUACACAAAUGCAAAACAUGCUUAGCCAAAUUAAUCUUAUUUUACACCAGAUUUAAGAACGUGUUCUUAUAUUGUUCUAUAUGUCAAUUUGGUCCCCAGUUGGGAUUAUCAGUGUCUUGAGGAAAAGUGCCAUUUUAGCAAAUGUCACCUCAUCCACUCUUACCACAGGUCUGUGAGGUAGACUCUUUGCCCCUGUUUAUAAAUGAUGAACCAGUUCCAGGUCUGGGGAUUGCCCAAGCCACACAAACAGAUUCCCUGGUUCUUCCACGCUCUGAUUUGGCCUCCUGUACCCUGCUGGACCAGACUGCUACAAAGCCUUUGGAAUAGCAGAAAGCAGUAGACUAUAGAGUAACAACACAGAGUGGGGUGAAUAGUACUGGCUGCCUUUGUGCUAAGAAAAAAUUACUGUGGUUUUUUUUUUUUUUUUUGGUGCAGACCCAAGAUUCUGCCUUAGACUUAAU
rnacentral:lncRNA from 1 species